rnacentral:tRNA from 1 species
AGGAGUAUAGUUCAACGGUAGAACAUCGGGCUUCAACCCCGUGUGUUAUGGGUUCAAAUCCUGUUACUCCUGCCA